rnacentral:rRNA from 1 species
AUUGAACGCUGGCGGCAGGCCUAACACAUGCAAGUCGAACGAGUGGCGGACGGGUGAGCAAUGUCUGGGAAACUGCCCGAUGGAGGGGGAUAACUAAUGGAAACGGUAGCUAAUACCGCAUACCAUCGGAUGUGCCCAGGUGGGAAUAGCUAGUAGGGGGGGGAACGGCUCACCUAGGCGACGAUGCCUAGCUGGUCUGAGAGGAUGACCAGCCACACUGGAACUGAGACACGGUCCAGACGCCUACGGGAGGCAGCAGUGGGGAAUAUUGCACAAUGGGCGAAAGCCUGAUGCAGCCAUGCCGCGUGUGUGAAGAAGGCCUUCGGGUUGUAAAGUACUUUCAGCGGGGAGGCGUUACUCGCAGAAGAAGCACCGGCUAACUCCGUGCCAGCAGCCGCGGUAAUAC